rnacentral:rRNA from 1 species
UGCAGUCGAGCGGUAGCACAGGGGAGCUUGCUCCCUGGGUGACGAGCGGCGGACGGGUGAGUAAUGUCUGGGAAACUGCCUGAUGGAGGGGGAUAACUACUGGAAACGGUAGCUAAUACCGCAUAACGUCGCAAGACCAAAGAGGGGGACCUUCGGGCCUCUUGCCAUCAGAUGUGCCCAGAUGGGAUUAGCUAGUAGGUGGGGUAAUGGCUCACCUAGGCGACGAUCCCUAGCUGGUCUGAGAGGAUGACCAGCCACACUGGAACUGAGACACGGUCCAGACUCCUACGGGAGGCAGCAGUGGGGAAUAUUGCACAAUGGGCGCAAGCCUGAUGCAGCCAUGCCGCGUGUGUGAAGAAGGCCUUCGGGUUGUAAAGCACUUUCAGCGAGGAGGAAGGUGGUGAACUUAAUACGUUCAUCAAUUGACGUUACUCGCAGAAGAAGCACCGGCUAACUCCGUGCCAGCAGCCGCGGUAAUACGGAGGGUGCAAGCGUUAAUCGGAAUUACUGGGCGUAAAGCGCACGCAGGCGGUUUGUUAAGUCAGAUGUGAAAUCCCCGGGCUCAACCUGGGAACUGCAUUUGAAACUGGCAAGCUAGAGUCUCGUAGAGGGGGGUAGAAUUCCAGGUGUAGCGGUGAAAUGCGUAGAGAUCUGGAGGAAUACCGGUGGGCGAAGGCGGCCCCCUGGACGAAGACUGACGCUCAGGUGCGAAAGCGUGGGGAGCAAACAGGAUUAGAUACCCCUGGUAGUCCACGCUGUAAACGAUGUCGAUUUUGGAGGUUGUGCCCUUGAGGCGUGGCUUCCGGAGCUAACGCGUUAAAUCGACCGCCUGGGGGAGUACGGCCGCAAGGUUAAAACUCAAAUGAAAUUGACGGGGGCCCGCACAAGCGGGGGGAACAUGUGGGUUUAAUUCGAUGCAACGCGAAGAACCUUACCUACUCUUGA